AUGGAAAACCUGGCUGUGAUCUACUUCUUCUCGGCUCUUGUAGGUCAGAGCUUGGAAGCUGAUAUUACUGCCAUCAGAUCUGAAAUGUUUCCAUCAGAGGGAGGCAGAGUCACUCUGUCCUGUAACUAUUCAGUUAAAGCUGAAAACCUUCAGUGGUAUCGACAAGAUCCUGAUUCAGCUCCUCGCUUCCUUCUCCUGAUCACUGAUACUAAAGAUCCAACUGUGGUGGAAGCAGAACCUCCAAACCCUCGACUGACUGCAGGACUGAACAAGGAGAGAAACCGAGUGGAUCUGCUGAUCUCCUCUGCUGCAGUGACAGAUUCUGCUGUGUACUACUGCGCUCUGCGGCCCACAGUGACAGGAAACACCAGAACCCUGUACUAA